rnacentral:rRNA from 1 species
AAUAUUGGUCAAUGGCGGCAAUUCUGAACAAGACACGCCGCGUGAAGGCUGACUGCUCUACGGGGUGGAAACUUCUAUUUUAAGGGAAUAAAGUGAGCCACGUGUGGGUUUGUGCAUGUACCUUACGAAUAAGGAUCGGCUAACGCCGUGCCAGCAGCCGCGGUAAUACGGAGGAUCCGAGCGUUAUGCGGAUUUAUUGGGUUUAAAGGGUGCGCAGGCGGAAUAUUAAGACGGCGGUGAAAGUUUUCAGCUUAACUGUAAAAUUGCCGUUGAAACUGGUUUUCUUGCGUGUAUAUGAAGUAGGCGGAAUUUGUAGUGUAGCGGUGAAAUGCAUAGAUAUUACAAGGAACUCCGAUUGCGAAGGCAGCUUACUAAAAUACAACUGACGCUCAGGCACGAAGGCGUGGGUAUCAAACA